ACGCUGUUGGCCUUGACCAUGCAUUUGGUGUACUUUUUUUCUAUUUAGAUUUAUUUUUGUUUUAUGUGAAUGGGUGUUUUUCCCAAUGUACAUCUGUGCUAGACAUGAUUGCAGUUCCUGAAGAGGACAGACAAGGGCAACAGAUCCCAUUAUACCUGGUUGUUAGACACCAUGUGGGAGAGCACCAAAUGGUCUUAACCUUUGAGCUCUCUCUCCAGCUCCUGCAGUUGGCUUUUGACCUUCCAGCCCUAUGUGCUGUAUAGGUUGAACUGGAUCACCUCCGAUCAAAGAAAGAAGUCUCUGGAGACCUGUAGGGACGGGUACACGAGGUAGGCAUGCUAAUUGUCUGAGGCAGCCUGGCACCUAUGCAGGGCUCUGGUGUCCCCACUGAUCUCUGUGUGUUCAGGAUCAUGCUCCAGUGUUACUUAUAGUUAAGGUUGGAGCAGAUCUGUCACCUCUCAUCUAGGAUGACAAUGUAGAUUAGGCACAUCUGAUGAAAUUCAGAGUUGAGAUGGCCCUCUUUGGGCCUGGGUUCGAAGUAAAGAAUCCUUGAGUAAACAAGACCCCCUCGGGCAGUGUUUCUCAACCUUCCUAAUGCUGUGACAGUCUGAGGUAGAAGUCAUUCCAGGGAGGGAGAAGCUGCCUGACUGAAUUUGAGAAGCUCAGAAGCCAGGUACAUACAGUUCAUCACCCCUGAAACCUGACAGGCAAGGAGAGUGCUCUUUUCCAAAGCAACUGUUGGCAUUUUUGUGUUGGGAAGCACCUGUACACACACAUUUCUGUUGUGUGUCUGCUCUGAGCAACCUUACUUCUCACCACAGGACUACACUGACACAUGUAGGAUUUCCCAUAAUGCUCAUCAUCUUCCCCUUCUGGCCAAUCAGCAGAGAGGAAAGUCAGGACCAAGUCUGGUUGCUUAGAGACCUCCGGAGAAGCCCACCUGUAAUAAGAAAAGCUGUUUCCUUCCAGGCUCCAUGCACAAAUAACAAAGAAAGGAAGCAGACCUCACAAAUGCUCAGAGUAAGAUGAAUGGCAGCAGCAGCUGAGCAAUGGCUCCCAGAUCACCUCCAUGCACUACAAGACCAGGCUGUGCCAAGCAUUCAAGAAGAGCAGCACGUGCAACUGAUUUCUGUAGGCCCCUAGUGAUUCACCCAGCUAUUCAAGAGACCUGAUACUAGAAGAACUAAAGAUAUGCCACAGUGCUUCACAGGUAAAAAUCAUUUGAGCUGUUUUCUAAGUCUUGUGGAAGAAAGACAUCAAAUGAAAAAAAUCACUGUUCCUGGUUGUAGACCAGCAAAGGUAGAUAUCCAGGGUGUUCGGGAUCUUCCUGCCUCCUCCAGACUGAUUAAAUCCUUCCCAAAUCCUGUAUUGAGGUAAUCUUGUCCCCUGUGUAGACAAAGAUAAUAUUGCUGGUCAGAGGAGCAGGGUUAUUACUCCAGAGGGGCAGAGCAAGGUAAAAUGUGCAAGAAGUCAGUUCCCUGCUGAGCAGAAUGUCAGCUACUGUUUUCUCAGGUCCAGACAGGAAGAGGUAGGGCUCCUUCUAUCAGGAAAAGUUUUCUUAAAGUCUUCUCAAUGAUGGAAUGUUCACCUGGUGUCUCCUGAAAUGAAUUAGCCUCAGUGAGAGCUCUGCAAAAUCCUUUGAUAUAGGCCUUCCAAAGUGAGGUCUAGUAUAGUGUUCGUGACUGUGAGUAGUAGUCAGAUUUAAUAAAGUAGUGUACUCUAGCAGUCCUAGUCCCUUGCUUAGGUACUAAUCAUUUCAUCCAUCUCUUGAUUCGUAUCUGCUAAAAUUUUACUGUAAUAGUAGUAAUUUUACUAAUCAUAGAGGCCAUAUUUGAGACCUCUCUUUAUA